UACGGGGGGAGCAAGCGUUGUUCGGAUUUACUGGGCGUAAAGGGCGCGUAGGCGGCCAGCACAAGUCAGUUGUGAAAUCUCCGAGCUUAACUCGGAAAGGUCAACUGAUACUGCGGGGCUAGAGUGCGGAAGGGGCAACUGGAAUUCUCGGUGUAGCGGUGAAAUGCGUAGAUAUCAGGAGGAACACCGAUGGCGAAGGCAGCUCACUGGGACGGUACUGACGCUGAGGCGCGAAAGCGUGGGGAGCAAACAGG
rnacentral:rRNA from 1 species